rnacentral:rRNA from 1 species
GUGGGGAAUUUUGGACAAUGGGGGCAACCCUGAUCCAGCAAUGCCGCGUGCAGGAAGAAGGCCUUCGGGUUGUAAACUGCUUUUGUACGGAACGAAACGGUCUGGGUUAAUACCCUGGGCUAAUGACGGUACCGUAAGAAUAAGCACCGGCUAACUACGUGCCAGCAGCCGCGGUAAUACGUAGGGUGCAAGCGUUAAUCGGAAUUACUGGGCGUAAAGCGUGCGCAGGCGGUUUUGUAAGACAGAGGUGAAAUCCCCGGGCUCAACCUGGGAGCUGCCUUUGUGACUGCAAGGCUGGAGUGCGGCAGAGGGGGAUGGAAUUCCGCGUGUAGCAGUGAAAUGCGUAGAUAUGCGGAGGAACACCGAUGGCGAAGGCAAUCCCCUGGGCCUGCACUGACGCUCAUGCACGAAAGCGUGGGGAGCAAACAGGAUUAGAAACCCUUGUAGUCC